UAAUGCUUGGGAAUCUAGCUUAUGGAGGGGGAUAACUACGGGAAACUGUAGCUAAUACCGCGUAGAAUCGAGAGAUGAGAGUGUGGGACCUUCGGGCCACAUGCCAUAGGAUGAGCCCAAGUGGGAUUAGGUAGUUGGUGAGGUAAAGGCUCACCAAGCCGACGAUCUCUAGCUGGUCUGAGAGGAUGACCAGCCACACUGGGACUGAGACACGGCCCAG
rnacentral:rRNA from 1 species